rnacentral:misc_RNA from 1 species
AUGAAUACUUUGCGCUUGUUACUGUUAAUUUUUAUAAUUAAUGCAGCAGAUUCUCUGAUUAUACACACUUCAUUUGGUCAUUUGGAAGGUGCAGAGAUAGGAGAUUAUCAUUUGUUCAAAAAAAUUCCAUUCGCAAAACCUCCAGUGGGAAAUUUAAGAUUUCAAAAACCAGAGGCAGCCGGGAAAUGGGAUGGAAUAAGAAGUGCUAUUGAAUAUGGCCCAGCAUGUAUGUCGAAUUCUUCUAAAACAAAAAGUCCUCAAAAAUGGGUUGAUGAAGAUUGUCUACAUGUUAAUAUUUUCACUUCAAAAAAGUGUUUGAAGUCAAGAAAUUGUGCAAUAGCAGUGUACAUUCACGGCGGAGGACUGACUUAUGACAGUGCUGUUAUGUUUAAUGACACAGUUUUAUUGGAUACAUUUGUGAAACGUGAUGUGAUUCUUGUAAUUCCUGGUUUUCGAUUGGGCAUCUUCUCGCAUUUUACAGUACAUAAUCAAAAUGUUGCUCCAAAUAAUUUGGCACUUUAUGAUAUCACACUUGCCUUGGAGUUUGUUAAAUCAGAAAUUCACAGCUUUGGUGGAAAUUCUCAAAAAAUAACACUUUUCGGACAUUCUUAUGGUGGAGGUCUUGCGUCUAUGAUGACAUUCAGCUCAGAGAUUAAUCGAGAUUUGAGUCUAUUUCAACAAGCAAUUGUCAUGUCUGGAGGUUUUUACUUUGAAGAAUUGAAGGAUCAUAUUGAAGGAACUAAGAGAUUUGUUGAAUAUGCCAAUUGUUCAGUUCCAUUGAAAUUAGAAAGAAAAAUGGAAAGAAGUCAACAGGAAAUGUACAUGAUGAAGUGUUUGCAGAAAUUGAGUGGAAUGGAAUUAUUAAGAAUCCAAAGAUUACUUGAAGAUAAAGGUUAUCCUGAUUUUGGUGGUGUUAUUCUUCGAGAACCUCUAUUUCCUGAUGUGAAGAAAUUCGAACUAUUGAAAUCUCCUAAAAACAUUCCAAUGCUCACAGGUUGCACAAACCUUGAAUUUGAUCAUGAAUCUAUCAAAGUUCCAUUCGGAAAAUAUUUAGAGUUUGAGAAUCCAGACGAAUGUGAUGAAAAAUAUCGAAAUGAUGUUGAAAGUGGUGUUGAAAGUCGAUCGAGGAAAUCAUACUGAUAAAACACAAGGGAUAAUUCUUCCCCUAAAACUUCAAAUAAAUAAUCUACUUGAAAAUAAUGUCACGGCAUACCUCUACGAAUACACUUAUCCGAAACAUGGUAGACAUACCGAUGAUCUCUCUUAUAUAAUGGGAGUUCAUGCAUUUGAAAAAGACGAAAAUGAGGUGCAUUUGGAGCAAGUUUAUAAGGAUAUGGUUAUUAAUUUUAUAAAGCUUGGAGAACCUGGAAUGGGUUUCGAAAAGUCUGAACAGAAUGAGUCCACUUAUUUUGAUAUUUAUUGGAACGAGACGACAGGAGAAAGGCCACGAAUGAGAAAAUAUUUCGAAAAGGAGGUCACUGACUAUUGGCUCAAGGAAAUGAUUGAAUUUGAUCAGAAAGUGACUGAAACAAAGAAGAAAUUAAAACAAAUAUCUCUUAAAACUGUGCCAUUCAUAGAAAAGCCACUGGAGCAAAAUGAUGAAGCAGGAACAUUAAUUGGUGUUUCAUUAAUAGCCAUUUCCAUAUUCCUUAUUGGUUGUAUUUUUGGAAGAUAUUGUUGUUUGAGACGACGAAAUUUGUAUAUUCGAUUGGAUGGAAAUAAUUAUGAAAACGCAGGAAACUUUUAG